rnacentral:rRNA from 1 species
AUUGAACGCUGGCGGCAUGCCUUACACGUGCAAGUCGAACGGCAGCGCGGGGGCAACCCUGGCGGCGAGUGGCGAACGGGUGAGUAAUGCAUCGGAACGUGCCCAGUCGUGGGGGAUAACGCAGCGAAAGCUGCGCUAAUACCGCAUACGAUCUAUGGGUGAAAGCGGGGGACCGUAAGGCCUCGCGCGAUUGGAGCGGCCGAUGUCAGAUUAGGUAGUUGGUGGGGGUAAAGGCUCACCAAGCCAACGAUCUGUAGCUGGUCUGAGAGGACGACCAGCCACACUGGGACUGAGACACGGCCCAGACUCCUACGGGAGGCAGCAGUGGGGAAUUUUGGACAAUGGGCGCAAGCCUGAUCCAGCAAUGCCGCGUGCAGGAAGAAGGCC